CCCGGCACCAUCAUCGUUUGUAUUUACAGCGUGCAAAGUAUUGUUUUUGCGCUCCAAUUUUCGCAUAUUUGUUUCCAUCGUCACCAAUGGCGAUACCGAACCCAGGGUGUCAUCUCCAACGGCGAGGUUAUUUGUUUGGCUUGUUUGCCGUCCUGAAAUGACAACGCUGCCCGACGAACAUGUUAUCGCUAAUUUAUGUCAACAAAUUCGUCCGGUCCCUGCUGCGUCACGAAGCAAAUCCCCUUCGGAACCUCGUCGGCGCAAAACUCAAACAUCGAUCGCACACUGACUGGGCGAAGCUUCCUGAUUGCGCCUAGUGGGUUGUAACCUCCAUUGUAUUGUUAGAAGAUUUUUCCGUUCGUAGCCUCGCCAGAAAUGCUUCAUCGUGAACUGAGGAGGUUUCAAUGCAGGCCACUGUUUGUUAAAAGACAUUUCAUACACGCAGGUAUAUCGUAUGGAAAUUAAUCUACGCUUGGGCACUUGGAGCUUAGGUGUUAAGAGAGAGAGAUUUAACAUUGGCAUACAUUUUUCCAACAGCUACCUAUCGACCAGGUGGCUGUUUCAGUCAUGCUACAGUACAGUACAGUGCUACAGCAUAGCAUUCGCCGGGUUGAAUUAGAGUCAGUUUGCACAGGAUGCGAUGAAUAUUUAGUUUCGCAUCCGACGUUUCCGUUUCGCAAGUUUUGUUUGCGUAGGACGCGUUGUUACUAGGAAAAUGGCUAUUUAUAUUGAGCGAGAGAGAAAGAAAACGUCAAAAGAUGUAGUAGACUAUGCGUUUAGCAAACGGUUGCUGAUGCUGGUUUGAGCUGAACGAUACGAUUUCGUUCGGCAACAACACCGUCAGCAGUUCAACAAGUCAGAGAUGCGUGUGCAGCGCUGAAGGGAUUGACUUAACGUUUGUAAAUUGCAGGAGAAAAGCUUUUUGUUUAAAGAGUCGAAGAUGAUUGAAUGAAACAUUUUUGUUUUUCUAUUUUUUAUGCAGGUUGAGAGACAGUAGAUUUGAUGAAAGGUUGUAUUUUAAAUCAAAUGAUAGUGGUUGAGCCAUUUGAAACAGCACACGAAAGGGUCAUUAUGACAAUAUAACGUAUGAAAUGCUUCCACAGAUAACGGAUGGCAACGACGGAGACAGUGGGAAGGCAAAUACAAACAAAUAUAAGCAAGCAAAUCGGGUGCAUCGAUAGAGGAUGGCGGCACAUGUGUGUGAUGAAACAUUCGUAGAAAAGCUACUCUUGUGAGAUUUCUUUGGACAUUCUCAAUUCUAGUACAUCCCCCAAUACUAGAAAGAAUCUAUACAAUACUAGCAUAUUCGAAAAUUGGACGUACCAGAGAACAAUAGAGAGUCCUUAAGCGAGUAGGAUUCCUAAAAUCGGACAGUGUCCGAAGAAUGAACUUCAGGGUUUGAUAGGCUUUCGC